CCCUCAUUCAUCUCUCUCUCUCUCUAUAUAUAUAUAUAACAAAUUCGUCGCAACCUCAUCACUCAAUACUUCCUUCAGCCUCCCCUUUCAUUUCCAAAAUUUCUUACAUUUUUUUUUACUCAGUCAAGAUAUAUUUUUUCUACUUUCAUCUUAUUAAAUCUCAACUCAUGGAAGAUUUCGCAGUGGAAAAAUCCAAAUUGAAAAGCAAGUUCAGCUUCUUGACUGGAAUCGGGUUCCUCGAUCCAGCCAAAAUUUUACUCAAAACCUUGCGAUAUCGAAUUCUCCAGCAUCACUCGUCUGAGAUUCUUGCUUUUGGAUUCUCAGGCCCUUCUUAUUGCUGUUUGGAAAUGGAACAAGGUGCUACUCAUGCAAAAGAGGGUCAAAUGCUUCCAAAGCAAUAAAGCAUCGGACAAGGUCAAGACCCAGAAUGAAAAGAAUGAGCAAAAAGAAGAAAAACUACACGGGAGAGAGAAAUUUGAUGAACAAAAUAAAAGAUGUACAAUUAUUUAGGCUAUUGGUAAAUGAUGAUUUGUGUUAAGAGUGGGCAUCAUAGACUGCAGAACUGAUUGAUCUCAAGCCCAAACAAAAUUGAAUGAUAUAAAACUAGGUCGAAUAGAAUGCAAAACUUACUAAUGUUUAAUGUGGUAGAGAUUAAUUCAAAUUCAAAUAGAAAAUAAAAGUGAAUGUGACCUUAAAAUUUAAAAAGUCAAAUUUAAGAAUUCAGAAAAAAGAUUAAAAAAAGUUGUGUUUGAUAAAUUCAAGUGAUAAUGAAAUGGAUUUAAUUAAGAAAAAAAACUAAAUGGGUUGCCAUUUUCUUUAGAAGAUAAAUGAGGAAAACAUUCAGGAGCUUUUAAAAUGGAUACCAUUAUCAAAUACUAGUGUAGGUGCAGAAUUACCAAAUGGAAAUCAUCUCUCACCUAAUUCAUGAAUUUGGUGAUCUAAACUGUUUAAAACAACAAGCAAGAGCCCUAAAAUGGCCAACAGUAUGUACAAAACAAUGGAAAGAAAAAUAUUCCAUCGUCAUAAAGUUUUAAGGCUUGCUGUAAGGAAUGAACCAAAACUUAAAAAGUUUUAUCAUGGAUGCCAAAUAUCAAUCAAUCAUGUCUUUCAAAGAUCAUCCAAACUAAUGACGGUAUCAUUAGAGUAAUUGAUGUCUAACUGAGCGGUUUC